UAUGUUCCCGAGCCUUGUACACACCGCCCGUCAAGCCACCCAAGCACGGGGUACCUAAAGUCCGUUGCCCAACCGUAAGGAGGACGCGGCCCAGGGUAAAACGUGUGAGGAGGGCU
rnacentral:rRNA from 1 species